rnacentral:rRNA from 1 species
UGCGCAGGCGGGCUUGUAAGUCAGUGGUGAAAUCUUGCCGCUUAACGGUAAAAUUGCCAUUGAUACUGCAGGUCUUGAGUAUGGUUGAGGUAGGUGGAAUGUGUUGUGUAGCGGUGAAAUGCAUAGAUAUGACACAGAACGCCAAUUGCGAAGGCAACUUACUAAGCCAUCACUGACGCUGAGGCACGAAAGCGUGGGUAGCGAACAGGAUUAGAUACCCUGGUAGUCC